GAUGAACGCUAGCUACAGGCUUAACACAUGCAAGUCGAGGGGCAGCAUGAACUUAGCUUGCUAAGUUUGAUGGCGACCGGCGCACGGGUGAGUAACACGUAUCCAACCUGCCGAUGACUCGGGGAUAGCCUUUCGAAAGAAAGAUUAAUACCCGAUGGCAUAGUUCUUCCGCAUGGUAGAACUAUUAAAGAACUUCGGUCAUCGAUGGGGAUGCGUUCCAUUAGGUUGUUGGCGGGGUAACGGCCCACCAAGCCUUCGAUGGAUAGGGGUUCUGAGAGGAAGGUCCCCCCACAUUGGAACUGAGACACGGUCCAAACUCCUACGGGAGGCAGCAGUGAGGAAUAUUGGUCAAUGGACGAGAGUCUGAACCAGCCAAGUAGCGUGAAGGAUGACUGCCCUAUGGGUUGUAAAACUUCUUUUAUAUGGGAAUAAAGUUUUCCACGUGUGGAAUUUUGUAUGUACCAUAUGAAUAAGGAUCGGCUAACUCCGUG
rnacentral:rRNA from 1 species